rfam:Oryza glaberrima chromosome 5 Oglab05_0076_2, whole genome shotgun sequence.
UCUCAGUUUCCGUGGGAGUGAGAAGCAUGGGGAAAUUUAGCCCUACUCAUUGCUUCGGUAGGCUGGCGA